rnacentral:misc_RNA from 1 species
CGCACCUUGCGCUCCUUGGGAUUCCGAGGAGCAUGCCUGUUUGAGUGUCAUGAAACUCUCAACCCCCGCGGAUGCGGGUCGGUUGGAUUUUGGAGGUUGCCGGACCGGUUCGGCUCCUCUUGAAUGCAUAGUAAAGCUUGGACCUGACCGACCGAGUGGACGUGAUAGAAAGUCACCGUCGACUGAAGGGUCCGUCGCCGAACGGUUCAAGCUUUGUCUUCGGACGAAAGAUCUCUGAGCUCUGACCUCAAAUCAGGUAGGACUACCCGCUGAACUUAA